GACGAACGCUGGCGGCGGGCUUAACACAUGCAAGUCGAACGAGAAAGCGUCCUUCGGGACGUGAGUACAGUGGCGCACGGGUGAGUAACGCGUAGGCAACCUGCCCUCAAGGUGGGGAAUAACUAUCGGAAACGGUAGCUAAUACCGCAUGAAGUCCUGAAUUGUAUGAUUCAGGAUGAAAGUCUUCGGACGCUUGAGGAUGGGCCUGCGUCGGAUUAGCUAGUAGGUAGGAUAACAGCCUACCUAGGCAACGAUCCGUAGCUGGUCUGAGAGGACGAUCAGUCACACUGGCACUGAGACACGGGCCAG
rnacentral:rRNA from 1 species